GAUGAACGCUGGCGGCGUGCCUAAUACAUGCAAGUCGAGCGAACAGACGAGGAGCUUGCUCCUCUGACGUUAGCGGCGGACGGGUGAGUAACACGUGGAUAACCUACCUAUAAGACUGGGAUAACUUCGGGAAACCGGAGCUAAUACCGGAUAAUAUAUUGAACCGCAUGGUUCAAUACUGAAAGACGGUUUUGCUGUCACUUAUAGAUGGAUCCGCGCCGCAUUAGCUAGUUGGUAAGGUAACGGCUUACCAAGGCAACGAUGCGUAGCCGACCUGAGAGGGUGAUCGGCCACACUGGAACUGAGACACGGUCCAGACUCCUACGGGAGGCAGCAGUAGGGAAUCUUCCGCAAUGGGCGAAAGCCUGACGGAGCAACGCCGCGUGAGUGAUGAAGGUCUUCGGAUCGUAAAACUCUGUUAUUAGGGAAGAACAAAUGUGUAAGUAACUAUGCACGUCUUGACGGUACCUAAUCAGAAAGCCACGGCUAACUACGUG
rnacentral:rRNA from 1 species